rnacentral:rRNA from 1 species
GAUGAACGCUGGCGGCGUGCCUAAUACAUGCAAGUCGGGCGAAUGGAUUAAGAGCUUGCUCUUAUGAAGUUAGCGGCGGACGGGUGAGUAACACGUGGGUAACCUGCCCAUAAGACUGGGAUAACUCCGGGAAACCGGGGCUAAUACCGGAUAACAUUUUGAACCGCAUGGUUCGAAAUUGAAAGGCGGCUUCGGCUGUCACUUAUGGAUGGACCCGCGCCGCAUUAGCUCGUUGGUGAGGUAACGGCGCACCAAGGCAACGAUGCGUAGCCGACCUGCGAGGGUGAUCGGCCACACUGGGACUUGGACACGGCCCAGACUCCUACGGGAGGCAGCAGUAGGGAAUCUUCCGCAAUGGACGAAAGUCUGACGGAGCAACGCCGCGUGAGUGAUGAAGGCUUUCGGGUCGUAAAACUCUGUUGUUAGGGAAGAACAAGUGCUAGUUGAAUAAGCUGGCACCUUGACGGUACCUAACCAGAAAGCCACGGCUAACUACGUGCCAGCAGCCGCCGUAA